CCUGACGCUCUCAGAGUCUGGCCUUCUGCUGGGCCCCGGGUCUCUCACUGGCAGAAUGGAGUUCUCGGAGCUGAUCCAUACGGGCUGAGCCCAAGCAGAGUUUCUACGGGGCCCGGAGGCGCCCCCGCUUCGCGGCACGGUGUGAGUCACCGUCCACCACCUGCUCCUGUCGCCAGGGCCCGCGUCCUCUCCGGACCUGUGGCUGCUGCUGUUGCGUAGCGUCGACUCCUUCGAGAAGCAGUGAGACGUGGCGGGGUGGGGGAGGGUCCCCGGGGUUGGGGAGCGCGCGGCUUGGCGGAGUAGGGGGCACGGCCAGCGCAGUCAGAGCUGGCGCCCUCCUGCGUAAGCCCAAUCCGGGAAACUCGUUGCCCCUCUCCUGGGAAAGGAACGUCCCUCCCCAGGGUUGCGAGUGACUCGGGCACCAUCACCCUGUGCUGUAAAGACCUGCGAGUGCUGCAGCUGGAAAUAGAGGGCGCGGAAGCGACGCUGGGCAUCGCCCGCUCCAUCGAGACCAACGCGUGGCGGCUGAGCGAGGUGAACGAGGACUUCAGCUUGUGCCCCAGAUACCCCCGUGCGGUGAUCGUGCCAUACUUGGUGGACGAUGAUGCCCUGGCGCGCAGCGCCCGCUUCCGUCAGGGAGGUCGCUUCCCGGUGCUCAGCUACCACCCGGCUCCCAGCGGCAGAGGGAGCGCGCCCUCCCCACGCUCCGCCCCUGGGUGGCUGCGUCCUUUCUGGGCCUUUUCUUUUUGGCCCGGUCAAUUCGCGGCGUAGCCGCUGCCCCAACUCCUGCCCCAUUCUGGUCCCGCCCCUCUCCCGCCUUUUCGCUGGGAAGGGUAUCACCUUUCUCUGGCCCCGCCCCUGACGGUUCCGGGCCCCGCGAAGCUUAGUCCCUUCUUUGUCAAGCCAGGACCCGCCCACGGUCUAUUCAUAGGGUCCCAAACCACUUUGGCCACAACACCCCCAGACUGGUCCGAAGCCUCGUGAGUUCGCCCUGGUCGUUGCACUCCAGCCUGUCGCUGUGCAGACCUGGCUUAGAGGACCCCUAAGGCUGAGGGGUCACUUCCAGAACUGAGUCCGGUCCGCAGGUUCUGCUACGCUCCAGCCAGCCCCUAACUGGUCCCCAGAAGCGGCGCUGCUACAGGGACCAGGAGCUGCUGCGAACUGCGCUGGCGGGGGCUCGUCCUUGGGCGCGGGGCUUCAUCAUGGACACGCUCUCGGCCCAGGCCGCGAAACAAGCCCGCGUGACUGGCGGAGGCACAGAGACCAAGGCCGCUUAACCUGGCUGGUUGCACUGGUCCCUGGAGAGAGGGCGUCCCCUGCAGGAGAGCUUCAUGCGCCUGGUGGAGGCCUGUGGGGACUCGGAGCAAAGCAUGGACAACUGGCUGAGUCGGCUGGACGGCUGCCGCUGACUGUAACAUGUAAAGCAGGCACUGAGCACCACCUGCCUGGCAGUCCAGGGCAUGGAGAGGCACAGACAGCACCCUGCUUGUGACUUCACUGGCCCAACUCAUCCUGGACCCCUUGAGCAAGACCAUGGCUGGAUUCCAGGAACUGGUGGAGUGGAAGUGGAUCCAGGAAAAUGCCGUGUGAAGGGAGGACUCAGAUGCACUCCCUGUGGUCUGGGCUCAACCAGCCAAAAGAGCAACAAAGACUCCAGAACCCACUCUACCUCCUCAAUCCCUUGGCCAUCUGUGGAGCCCCAGAGCCUGCGGCUGUGGCAAGGCCUGUUUCUGCGCUGGACCUGCUCACCUGAGCCUGCAGAAGCUGCAUGGGGGAAGAGUGUGGCAAAUAGUGACAGGAAGGGAGAAGACAGAAGCCUCUCAGCCAACUGCUUCAGCCGAGCCCCUAUUCUAAGCACUGGCUCCUUGGAUAGCAGCUGAGAUGUUCCUGAAACCUCUGCAGGCCCCUUAGGACCUUUACACCUUGGAUGAGGGUGCCUGCAACCCAGGUUAGCCAAAAGUACUGAGGGUCUUAAGUUUGAAGUGUCCAAAGUAUAGGGAGGUCUCAAUAAUAAAAGUCUCCAUGAUCAGCAUCA
ensembl:lncRNA novel transcript